rnacentral:rRNA from 1 species
AACGUAGGUGGCAAGCGUUAUCCGGAUUUAUUGGGCGUAAAGAGCGUGUAGGCGGCCAGGUAGGUCUGCUGUGAAAACUCGAGGCUCAACCUCGAGACGUCGGCGGAAACCAUCUGGCUAGAGUCCGGAAGAGGAGAGUGGAAUUCCUGGUGUAGCGGUGAAAUGCGCAGAUAUCAGGAAGAACACCCGUGGCGAAGGCGGCUCUCUGGGACGGUACUGACGCUGAGACGCGAAAGCGUGGGGAGCGAACAGG